UUUUGUUCGAUAUAUAUAGGAAAUCAUACGUUUCUUAAUUGUAUUUACGGUCAUUAUCACAGAUCAAAAUGAGUAUAUACUUGUUGUGGCUUUUUAUAUCUUUUCUCUCUUCUCUUCUUUUCAUUGUGAAUGCGGAUCCAAGUGAUGCCAUUCCAACUGCUGAUCCUGAUGGAAAAGCAAGAAUUCUAAUCAGAACACGCAUGGGACGUUGAUAACUGGGUACUAUGACUAAUGCUUUGGUUCAUUACUUUUAAAAAUAAAUCUUUCCAAUUA